AGAGGAUUCCAUUAAUUGUGCUGAAUGUAGAUUGAGCUUCUUCUGAAAAGAACUGAUACAACUAAAAUCUGCGCCUUCCGUUUUCCUGCUCCAUUCACUAAAACUCGAAGGUCACAUCGAAAUCCUUUCUCCUUGCUCUACUCUGAGCUCCGGUCCCGCUCAAUUCACAGAAAGCGUCACACAUUUCUCCUUGCCCUGCUCCACUUUUUUACCGAAGAUUGAUGAUAUGCUUCAGAAUUUAAAGCAAGAAGUGGCCAACCAAGAUUCCAAGCACCGGAAGCCCCUCUCAGAGAAUAACUUCAACGAUAGAAGAGAACACAUAUUUGUUAGUCGUGUUUAAAUAUGGUGGAUAUAGAAUAUUGGAGUCAUGUUAAAAAUCAAGCUAGAAAAGCUAUGGAGGUGGAAAGUAUAACAGAUAGGAUACAUGGAACGAAGUGGAGCUGAAAUGGAGUGAAGCAGAGGCGAAAUGGAGAAUCUUGGAACCAACAGACUGGCGCCUAGGCCCCAACCUUUGGUUUCCAAGACGCUCCACCCAAGAGCCAUGGCGCCAGCUUCGUGGGCGACUAGGCUCCAGAACCCAGUCGGUCAAACCAAGAGGUCGGCACUAAGGCGCUGGCCAGUUCCUAGGUUGUUUUCUACAGUUACUUUAGCAAGACUUGGGAAGUUAUGGGAUGGAUUUAAGCUGUUUGAGGGAGCAUUGGAAUGCAUUUUGAAGCUUUGGGAAGUGAAGAAAGGUAGAGGAGUUGUAGUGUAUAGUUAGGACUUUGUAUUUUCCACUUUCUUAGAGAGGUUGGAGAACAUUUGGAGGGAAUUCUGUAAGGGGAUAUACUCAGCACAUGUGUGACCAAUCUUGCUUUGUACCAAUCAAUGAUUCCAUGGAUCGACGCAUAUUAUCUUUUAUGUCAAUUUACUAUCUAGAAUAGUAUGGUUGAUCGGGGAAGGAACCAAUGUUCAUGUUCCCUGACUUUGUAAGGCAUCAAACUCUUCAUUCAUGGCCUCCCACCAGUGUGAAUGCUUGUUGGCUUCAUUGAAGUUAAGUGGUUUAGUUUCAUUGGCAAUGGAAUGA